GAGUAGGGAGGAGUUAUUCAUCCCCCCGCCAGCUUCAAGGUUCUGGGGAAAGUCUUUCGCCUCCCUUUUUCUGAUCUCUUUCCAUGCUCCUCCUUGGUCAAAUCCAAAGAAAAACUGGAUGGCAAAAGAGUCCAGAACCUAUUGGAACUGAUAAAAUCAAGUUACGGUGCCUACAAAGAUGAGGGCAGAUUCUGGCUGCCUUUUAAUUUCAUCAUUCACCGGAUCUCUGUGCCAGAGAAUGAUAAAAACCAUAAUAAAGGAAAUAAUGGAAGAGGAGACUUAUGUUACUGGGAACAUUUAACAUAAUUAUUUUCCUGAUUCAGCGGCAUGGUUCAGUGUCCCAGGAGCUCUGCAUCAGAGAGUCACCCCGAUCCAUCAUGGCCAAAGCCCCCAGUCAGGCUGCACUCUGGAUCCAGCCCAACAAAUGCAACCCUUGAAUAGGGUUUGUGCAAGCAAACUUGAUGACGACUGAAGAAACCCUGUCGCUUCUGAGAAAACACCCAAUCCAAGAAUGUGAGUUCUGGAAAUGUCAUUAAAUGUCAGUUAUAUCCAUGC